CCAAUAGCGUAUAUUAAAGUUGUUGCAGUUAAAAAGCUCGUAGUUGAAUUUCGGGGUUCUACCGUUGGUCGGGCUAACCAGUCUGUACUAGCGUGUAGAAUUCCUACCUUCUGGAGAACCAUCAUGUUAUUAAUUUAGCGUGGUGGGAAACCAGGACCUUUACCUUGAAAAAAUUAGAGUGUUCAAAGCAGGCUUACGUCUGAAUACAUUAGCAUGGAAUAAUAGAAUAGGACGGUGGUCCUGUUUUGUUGGUUUCUGAAUCACCGUAAUGAUUAAUAGGGAUAGUUGGGGGCAUUAGUAUUCAAUUGUCAGAGGUGAAAUUCUUGGAUUUAUUGAAGACUAACUUCUGCGAAAGCAUUUGCCAAGGAUGUUUUCAUUAAUCAAGAACGAAAGUUAGGGGAUCGAAGACGAUCAGAUACCGUCGUAGUCUUAACCAUAAACUAUGCCGACUAGGGAUCGGACGAUGUUAAAUUUUAUUGACUCGUUCGGCGCCUUACG
rnacentral:rRNA from 1 species